AGGAGCCGGCUAUAAGCAGUGAUUCUGAUAUCUCACUGAUCAUGGCGAUGGAGGUUGGACUGUCUGAUGUAGAACUUUCCACCGACCAAGACUGCGAAGAAGUGAAGUCUUGAAACGGCAAAUAGAGAAAAAAGGGAUGGUAGGACGCGAGGGGAAGGAAGUGAGGAGUGCACCAAGAUUGGACCUGGCACUCACGUCUCCAGAACACCUUGGCAGCUCCAGCGCGCUCCACUUAAGAACGGUACCGCUAAGCAAUAUCCAAAGUCAUGUUCAUCAGGACGCAGUUUGGCCACGUCGGCACCGGCCCUGGCCUUGGCACCUGUGAAGCUGAAAGCUGAUUUUCUCUCCCAUGUCCUUAUAGACACACACUUCAGAAGUUCCUGAAACAGACUGAAAGGACACUCUUAGGGCUUCUUAGUUUCAUUUCAGUUUUUCCCGGGGUCUUAUUUUCCUAUUUGGGGAAUGUGGUUGAUUUCUUUGGCAGUUUCUUUUUAAGGACUAUGUAUAGUUUACUUUAUGUUCACUCCUUUGUGUUUCCUUUGAUUCACUCCAGCUUUUGUACCGAGUUCUGUUUAGAAGCAUCAGUUCCUGCUCUGACCAGUUUGUAUUCCAUCUCUGAGAUUAAUGGCCUUGACCUCUCAGCAUGAAGUGUGCAUGGCUUUGGGAAGUGCCUCAGCACCUUGAAACAGUCUAAGGCCAGCUUUCGUUUAGAAUCUAAAUUCUUUUAAGUGGGUCUUAAAACUCCCAGCUGCCAGAGACCCCAACACCGAGCUCUGAAUCUGCGGAGGCCACUGCUCAUGUGUUUCAGCUACACACCCUGGCUUCCACUUGCCCAGCUCUGUUAAGGACCCAUGUGACUUGAGAAGGAAGCUCUAGGGAGGCACGUCAAUCCCUCUGGGUCUUAAGAAUCUUUGACUGAAAUUCUGAAAUCACAAUUUCCCUCUCGGGGCAUUAGCGCCAUUGUAUGUGGCUGUAGGGCUUGUCCGUUGCUGGGACAACAAGUCUAAUUUUCAAACCAGAUACCACAUACUCUUCCUGAAAGUGAAAUGUCUGUUGCAUUGGUUUCCCUAAGGCUACGACAAUCUCCUGUUACCUCCAUGAGUGGGUCCUGCAGGAGACGGAAGCUUUAGAAAAGAUCCAAGCAUCUUUGGAUCCAACACAGUGGGGGCUGCGCGUGCAUCCAGGUCUUACCUUAAUUCCAGUACACUUCUGUUCAACCUCACCAGGCCUCGAAGAAAGGAUUUAGGUGAGUCCUUAGGAAACUGCUUCCCAGGGCUCCCCUGAGUGCGUCUAGAUGCCAAGUGGGAGGUGGGAGGUGGGGUGUAAUAGAACACUUGAUCUAAAAAGUACAGCCUGGGAAUUGUUGAAAUCAAGUUUCUCCUGACUGAGAGACAAAGUCAGAGGGAGAGGAAACGAGGUAUCAAAAUGAAUUCUGAAAAUCCACCUGGCGUUUUUAAACUCUUUAUGUUUUUAUUCUUUUUUUGUAACUAUGACAGAGAUGUGCUAUUUUUUCAGUGGGCAAUUUUGUAAUACAUUUGAGAUUCUCCAGAUGCACGGAUUACUAAGGCAGUGUAAAUUGUUUCUCUGGACCAUUAGAUGGAUCACCUCGACAUCUGUGAAAGGCCAUGCUGCUGGGCAUGGGUUACCUGGGAAAGAAAGCUCUCACCGAGUUAUUUACGUAUGUGAUGAGGCCCUUCUGCCUUGCCACACUCAUCCUCAAGCAAACACAAGAGUUUGGUUCUGCUGUAAGACCGUGCUGCCUGCUGGAACACGGUGUAGAUGUCAGGGGAGACCACUGAAGGCUCUUUUUUCUCUACCUUUAACGAUUUCCUAUUUGAUGCUUUCUAAGUAGGCAGCAAGGGCAGAGAAAAUGGUCACCACCUUCAGAAAUGUCACAUCUCGGUAGGAGUCCAACACUUCCUGUCAUGAAAUCCAGGGUCUCCAAGGCAGGGAGGAGCAAAGCCAGUGCUGAAUCCAGAGUCAGGAGGCGGAGAUGAGCCGCGUGCUUGCUGGACCUCGGCUUCAGUGUCUGUAAAGAGAAGGUGUUUAACAAGAUGAUGCCCGAGGCUCCUUCCGGUCUUAGGACCACUAAUGAGCAUUUUGCCAGGGGGACCCAUUUUUAGCAGUGAGUGAUGACAUACAGCAGACUUUCCACCUUGGGCAGGCAGAGUUACUUGACAUGUAAUAUAUAACAGCUUUUUGAGACUCAGCACGCCUAUGUGGCUGAAACUGACUGUCUAAAUAAUGGAAGUUCUAAGUCCAAGGAGGAGUGGCUUUGUUUUGCCUUGCUCUAAAAGCCACACUUAGUCACAGGGUUUGCAGUCUCUGGAGACCUUCAAAUCCUAGUUCUCAGUGUGGAAUUCUUCAUCUCAAGGUAUUUCUUUUUCUAGGUCAGCAAAAACCUGUACCACCUACCCCUCCUUCAAUCAGCUUUGUCCAAAACAAAGUUUGGUGUUAAGGGGAAUGAGGAGGACAAUUCAGCAGCCAAGGAAUAUAAAUUGGAUACCAUGCCCGGAGAGAAAAUGCCUUUAGGAUUGGUGGGUGUUCUCUCUUCCUGCCAGUGACCAGGUAGCUCAGGAAUUGGUUGCUUAUGCGUGCCGUAGCCCAGCCGCCCCUAAAAGAUGCUGCCUGGGUGAUGACGGGCCCAGGUGGCAGAGCUGAGUGUGUGGACCUGACCCUAGGAAGGUUCUGCUGCAAGCUCCCCGAGUCUAGAAGGUUCUCCUUUACCAAAGAUGUGUUUCUGAAGAAUUUCCCCAUAACUGUGGUAAUUUUAAGGAAAAAAAAAAAAAAAGGUAAUUAACUGGCAUGGAAGCAUUCAAAAAAAAAAAAAAAUGGAAAGAGUCAUUCUCACACAGCACGUCCGCCCAAAGAAUAAACCCUGACCUGGGCCCCCUGUGGCCCAUAGAAAGUAUCAAAGGGCGUGGGAACCCUCUUGAAGCAUCUGCAGACCUGAUGUGCAUUUUUCUGUAGGGCCUAGACCAGCACUCUCCAAUAGAAAUAUAGUAGAAGUCCCACAUGUAACUGUAAAUUUUCUACUGGCCACAUUUUUAAAAAACAAAAGAAAAUAGGUAAAAGUAAUUUCCAUAAUAUACUUCUUUGUUCCAACAUUAUUGUUUCCACAGGUAAUUAGUAGAAAAAGUAUUCAUGAGAUACUUGACAUUCUUUUUCAUACUAAGUCUACCAAAGGCAGCACGCUGUCCAUUUGGACUGGCUAAUUCUCCAGUCUUCAGCAGCCCCACGUGGUCCAUGGUCACCCUCGGAGAGCACAGGGCUAGAGCUUUUCCAACGUUCUCCCAAGAUUCCCUGACCCUUGCAAAGAAAAGGGGCUAAUUCCUAAUUACCACUAGAGAGAACUGCAUCCCACCCUGGUCGCCUAAUGAGAGGCCCAGAGACCCACUUGUCUUGUAAUGGAUAAAUAUUCAGACCAUCCUUCCUAAAAUUUUUGCUAGAUCUGUUUAACCGUACCACAGAUGUCCAUGACCAUUUGCUGUUACUUCCUUGACCAGUUUUUUUGUUUGUUUCUUUGUUUUUUAAAGAAGUCACCCAGAGCAUGUUGGUUUGGUGCUGAGACAAAAUUAUAUCCUUCACUUCCACCCUUGGACUGAUGUGCGGCACUCAGGAGCCAAACAGAAUUCCAGAUUCUAGUAAUGCAGAUUUACUUCCACCCCUUGUCCCCCUGCAGAUGGUCUUUUCCUACUUCCAGUGGCCCCUAGCCCCAUCACUAUGGCUAAAAUGCAUGGAUUUGGGGCGAAAAAGUGGCAAGGUACAUAUUGACUCCAAAUACAAGACUCUGUGUGGCCUUCUCAAUACAGGAGAAGUCUUAAGAGCUUGUGACUUUCCAGCCUCAAGUUGGUGAAUUAUGAUGCCCUGCAACUCAGAAAUCAGCUCUCAACUCAGAAGUAAGCAUCCCCCGUCGGCUCCAAGGAUGUGGGCAAGAAAACAAGCAUCCCCAUUCCCUCAGAGUAAUUUAGAGUCCCCUCUAGGAAUUGCUGCGUCCUGUGUGGCUGGUCCCUUUGGGCAGAACUGAGCUUUGAUCAUGAAUAGAGCAUCAGUAUUUUGAUUUCAUCUCUAGGUUUUGGUUACCCCUAAAAUGUCAACUCUGUCAUCCUGGCAGGGAGUGAUGGAGAGCUUGGAGAAGGUAGAAAGUUAAAAGUAGCAAAGGCAUCUACCUUUUCUUACAUCACUGAGUAAUGAUCAUGACCAUAGAGGCAAAGAGGGUUUUUUUGUUGUUGUUUUUAAUUGGGGGAUAAUUGCUUUACAAUAUUGUGUUAGCCUCUGCCAUACAUCGGCAUGAAUCAGUCACAGGUCAGAGACAUUUCUCUGUUUGUUUUGUUUUCCCGCAUUCUGAUGGAAACAUCCUGCAUGUUCCUGGGUCUGGAUUUGGUCAUCCCAAUCCAUGGUACCCAGUGGCUAGUUCAGUUACUGCUCUGACAUUCCUGAAGCUGACAUCCUUUCAGAACCAAAAAUGAUGGCGGACAGCCUGUCUUGGGACUCUUCCUACCAUCACGUUCAUCGGGUUGAGAUGAAAAAUCUUGCAGAGCAUUUAGUUGUCUGUUGAAUGCAUCACCUGGACUGAAAACAAAGAAACCUCGUCAAAGCAAAACCCUUUCAGAAAACCGCAGAGAGAGCCACACCCUCUGUGGAGGGAGGACCCAACCCUCUGUGGUAACAGACAGAGCCUCUGAAGCCAUUUCUGGUAGCAUUUUUUAAUAGUACUUUCAUUUAGAUUUCUUUCCUUUCUUUGUCUGGGUGUCUCUCUCCCUCUCUCUCUGGCUCUCUCUGACUGCCUAUCUCUUUCUUUGUAUGCACACCCCCACAUGCAUCCUUCUCCCAUCUUUCAGGACAGAAAAACCUUAGUGGAUCUGAAGAGGUGUUAUUAUUGUGAUUACCGUCAUUCCUGUUGUUGACGUUUUUCUUCUUUUUAUUGUGUGGCAGAAUCUAUCUCUGCACGUCUGAUGAGGAAAACCAGUUGACUAUAAAAGCAAAUUAACUUCCUCUGUAGUGGAGUUUGCCUCAUUUUCACUUCUCAUGUCACUAAUUUUAUCACAGACCACCUCUAGCUAUUGCCUUAAAAAAAAAAAAAAAAAAAGACUUCCUUGCCAGAAAAGUCUCCGAGGCAAAUAAUGGCAAGGUAACAAUUCCAGAAUGCUGUCUAAUCGGUUAUCUUCCACCCCCAGCAUCUGUGACCUUCUCAAUUCACCACAGGCCCCCAGGGUUAGGAUUUCUUGGAAAAACACAUGGGCUGUACCGUAUCCAAUGUCCACUCCUGCUUCUUAACAUCUUGGCACAAGAACUUGCUCUUUGUAAGUGAUCUGAGAGGCCACUUCUUCCUCGAGACUGAAAAAGAGGCAGAAAGAAACCAUUCCCCCAAAGGGAGAGACGCAUAGCUCCUUGUGAGGUGCCUUGCAUCACAGAACUCCCUCUGUGCUACUGGCAUGGCCAGAACUGAACAGUACUUUUGAUGAGGGCAAUUAAAAGGUGGUGAGGAUACGGCUUCCUGAUGACACAGCGGGUAAAGAAUCCUCCUGCAAUACAGGAGACACGGGAGAUGCCAGUUCGAUGCCUGGGUCGGGAAGAUCCCCUGGAGGAGGAAAUGGCACCCCACUCCAGUAUUCGUGCCUGAAAAGUGCCAUGGACAGAGGACCCUGCUGGGCUAUAGCUCAGAGGGUCGCAAAGAGUUGGACACUACUGAGUAACUAAGCGCUCAUACACAGAGGGAUGCUUUUACCCACCGAAGUUAGCAAAGAGGAUGGCAGGGAAUGCACAUGGAUGCUCUUCCCGAAUCAGUGAGCAUCCUCCAGUUUUCCAGCUGACCUCUCUGGGGGCUUGUGUUCGUCUUAAGGAGCUGAACGCUUGUGCGUUAAACACUCCUGAUUGCAAAGAAGGUUGGGAUUAUCUGAAAAAUAAAUUAACUCUGAGAAGCAGGUGUGUGUUUCUCAUCCUAGCCUCUUACCUUCCUGCCCUCCCCUCCCCAUCUCAUGACUCCAGGCCUUUUGUAAUUUAUAAAGACCCACAGGCAAGUAGCCACACUGUGCUCUUUGAGCCUUUGGGUGUCACUAAAUUAAUCAUCCCCAAACUCAAGCAGUGCAUCCAGACCCUGGGUGCAGACGCUUCAUUAUCAAGCCCUUUAAUUGCAAAACCUGCUCAUUCUGCAAAGGAGCUGCUGAGGUCAUUUACAGCUCUCUUUACUGUCCUCUAAAUGAUGCCUGCCUUGAGUGCUUCAUGAUCAAGUGGCUUCUCCAGAAAUCUCCGUGAUUAAAGACCUUCUCAUCCUUGUGCCACUGUUAACAUUUGCAUUUACCACCAAGCCAUUCUGUCUCUGGCCACUGGAUAAAUAUUUGUUGAGGAUAAUGAUAAGUCAAAAACAUUCAUCUCUCCAGAGGCUCUGCAGGUCUGAAGAGAGGGAGGGAGAAAAACCCAUGGAGAAGGUAACCUCAUUCUGAGUCACCUGAAGUCGUUGCUUGGCAGGACAUCUGUGGUCUUGUCAUCCUUAGUGAAGUGAAGGACUUGGAGAAGUAGAGAAAAUCAGGUGGGAGACCAUGUGUACUGUAUAAACCAAAGACCAUCCAAACAUGAGUCCACCAUCCAAAUGGACACAUGUUUCUUCCAGUGGCUAGUUUAACUUUUUCCCAAUGUGCUCAUAAAUAAAAGUGAAGUUGGUUCGCUUGGUCGAAUGAAACUGUCAAUGAAAUCUUAGGGGGUUUUCUCUUGCAGGCUGAAUUUCUCUUAUGAAAUCCAGAAAUCUAAAAAGGAAAAAAAAAAAAAGGUAUCAUGGCCUUAGUACUGGACCAUCUUGACAGUCGAGUGCUUAGUCUCCUUUUCCCUCAAAAGUUUCAGACAAAUUGAGCGCUUUGUUGAACUCAGAAUAUUGUUCUCUUUGAGAAUGUGAAGAUUUUAAAUAGCCAAAGAAUUUUCGUGUAUAAGAGCUAGUUAAUCAUAGCAUAUCCUGCUCUUUUGAAGAAAAUACCAAACUAUUGCCUGUAGUAACAGAUCAUGAAGCAGCAGCAGGACUAUUAACAUAAGGACUUUGCAGUCUGUGUUUGUGUUGGCGUCUAUGGUAUUUAGUGUUAAACGGGAUGUUAUUGCCAGGGAGCAGGGUGCCCUCUGCUGGAGUUCUCACCAUUAUCUCUCGGCCAACUCAUCUGACGAGAGUCACCAUUUCCUCAACAACUAGUAGCGAUUUGCCUUUUAUUGUAGUUUCCUCAGUAGUUGAGAAUUUGGUCCACUUUUGUCAAAAAUAGGGAGGAAUGUCACAAACUCUGAAAACUGGAGGAGGGCCCCACGGAACAUCUCUCUGUCAGCAGCCCCCAUCUUCCCCAAAAUGUUGAAAGGAUAUUGUUUGCUCUGUUUGCAAAGGAGAUGCCUCUGGCUGGAAUGUUUGUACAGAGUUCUAAGACAAGGGCCUAAUUGUUUUGUAACGUUAUCUCAACUUUUUUCUUGUCAAAUUGCAAAGGAAGAUCAAUAAACAGAUUUCUUUCAUAUGAAUGUAAAUGGUGUGAGAUACUGAUGUGUUUUGUACGUGUACAUAAUAUAUUUACUUCCUGCUUUCACAUUAGUAAUCUGAAAUGGUUGUACCAUUUUAUAAUUAGAAAGAGAUGUCGAGGUGGGGGAGGGGAGGGAGGGGUUGUUAUUUUUAUAGUGAGAUGUCCCUUAUAUUUAGAAAACUUGAAGUAAUUUUGUACUUGUGAAAAGUUACAUUCCAUUCGUUUCUUGAAAAAGUAAUGGGUGUUGUUCUUUUAAAUGUUCACAAGCUGGAAGGAUGAUUAUUCUAGUUUCUGGGAAGAGCCUCCCAAGCAGGAUAUACAAGACACUGAUUCUGUGGACUGCAGAUCAAGACCAGCAACUGACAGCUCAGCAAUGUGAAAAGAAAAGAAAAACCAACGUAUCUUAACCUCUUUAGGGAGGAUAUUAUUAUUUCCGUUGGGGGGGGAAAUUUUCCUACAAAGAAUGAAUUUACCAUUCGGAAACAGUUCAGACAUGACAUCUUAAAUCAAUGUCUAGUCCCUUCCUACUAACAAGAAAAAAAUUCAGUGAAUUUAUUACCCACCCACCACCCGCUGCCAACACAGAUGAUGUGCUUUCAUUGUAAAAUGAACAACGUCACUGGUAGAGUUUAACUCAGCGUCAUCUCGAGGUCUUUCCGGCCGGUCUGAAGAUCCCAUGUAUGAUGGUCCCUAACUCAAUUUCACGAUACUCAGAUUAUGAGACUUUUUCCUUGUUGGGUUUUUUUUUUUUUCCUCUAUGACUAAAAAUCACCAAAGUUACUCCUCAUGGCCUUUUCACAAGUAACUUCUUAUUUGGACUUUGGUUUGUUCUUAUUUGUUAAAAAAAAAAUUUUUAGUAGUGAAUUAUGUAGCUGUUCUACCCAAACAUUAUCUUCUGUACAAGUCACAGGCAUAUUUAAAUGAUUAGUUCAGAUGGUGUAGUUAUUGGGUUUCAUUUUGUUUUUUCUGUAUAAACCUCUUUUUCUUCUUCCCCACCUCAGGCACCUACCUUACUCCUUCUAAAGCACUUUAUAUCCCUCUUGAAAUACACGGAAGUUUAAAAGAAAUCAUCUUUAACCGGAAUUGUCUUCUGUUAGGAGACACAACUUUUAUUUUGCUUUUUCUAUCCUCUGUGUGCUUGGAGAGCAUAAGCUGUUUGUCUCAUAUGGGCUAAUGAUGAGAUAUUAAGGCUAAUAAUUGGAAUCAUUCAAUCCUACAACAUGGCUCUUUUUAUUAUAUAGAAGACUAUCAUGUAAAUAAGUGCAACCAUGUUCUUCUGUAAAGUUCAAAAAACAUGCAAUUAUGAACAUUUGAAAAGGAUUGUGAAUUCCAGGAAAUUCCAUUGCAAAAUUUUGUUUGGUUUUGUUUUUUAAUAAAAUGGAACUGGAGGC